GGCGUGAGCCACCGCGCCAAGCCAACUUUCUACUUGUAAGACAAUUUAGAGGGGUUUAGAGUCACAGAGAUCUUAGUUAGAAUUUGGUAGCUAUGUGAUCUUGACAAAUGUAUUUAACUCAUCUGAGUCUUGUGUCCCUAACUUGGAAAAUGUGGUAAAUAUAUACUCAUAGCAUUAUUAUCUGGAUGGAAUGAAACAAUGAUAAACAUAUAAUAGGUGCUCAAUGAAUAUUAGCUGUUACUAUUGCCUCCCUAUCCUUUCUUCCAAAUAGGUCUUUGUGAUAGGUCAACCAUGAGUUAGUUCCCAACUCAAAAUAAGUGAAGCAGAAAUUGGAACUCAGAGUAGAGUAGUAAAACUAGCAUUAAAUUGGAAAUUGGGAAACUUGUCUCCUGGCUUUUGUUGCCCUUUCUCUACCCAGCAACUAUGUAAUCUUGGUCAAAUCACCUUACUUGUCUGGGCUUCCAAUUUCAUAUCUUAAGUUACAAAAUUGAUCUCUGAAGCCUCUAGGAUUCUCUGAAUCCAUAUGUCUGGGACUAAGAGAUUAUGUCGAGGAAUUAUUACCCUUGGUUUGAUUGUUUUUUAAACAAAUUAACUUGGGGUGGUUGGAAAACACAUUGAUUAUUUACUCAUCUUAGAGUUACACGUUGUUCAUUUAUUUGAAACUGAAACGUAUUUCCUCCAAACACCGUAGAAACUUAAAGGCCGCAAAAGACUCACACCCACCACCUAGCGGCGAAAAAAGGAAGUUUCAGGUGAUACAAGAUGUCCUGCCAUCACACCUGAAGGAUGGUUGUCCACAGCCAUUUUUUAAAAUCUCGUAUUAGUCCUCUUCCUUCAACACUCAGGACAGUAUUAUGUACCCAGAAACUCAAUACUUCCUGGCGUCUUCAUUUGACAAUACUCUUAAGCCAAUGAAAUCCUGUGGGACGUUUGCGAAUUUUAUAAAGAUCAAUGUUUUAAGAUUGGCGGGGUGGGCUGGGAGUGGUGGGGGGGAAGGUGCCUUCCUACCCUUGCAUUUGCAUCUCAAGCCACCCGUACCCGAGGCCCACCCAGUCCAUCUGUUCAUUGGUAGAUACACCAUUCCGCCAUUCCGCCAGUGGCUGGUGCAGAGAACCAGGACCACCACCUUUGAAAAGACCUAAAUCAAUACUCCAAUGGGAUCCUGAUGUCAAGUAUUUAACGACUUUGCUUUACCUACUACAGUAAUUAAAAUUAAGUCUUCAAACUUAAAUUUAAAUUUCUAAAAGCAGGAAUGCACUGUCCUUAAUCUUAAACACCAAAGGUGGGAGAAAGAGGCCAGAAUCCUAGGGUACUAGGCCUACUGGUAUAGGGCGAUCUCUUCUGCUUUUUUCUUUCCACCCCAUUUCUUUUCCCUUUCUCCUUUCGUUUCCCAUCUUCUCUCUUCUCGUUCUCUUCGAAGUAACAGUGACAAAAUUAAGGUGAUUCAAUUAUUCCAAGAGGCUUGCUCAUAUAAAAUAUUUCUCUUCAAGCCCUUUCCUGAAAUCCCAAAUUAAAGCAUUUCCAAUAGUCUCUGCUUUAAGUAUUCCUAGUUAAGUCUACUUUUGGAAAUAUUAAAUAUUCUCACUUUGGCACAAUAUUCCAAAAUUCCUUGAGAAGUUCGCCUACGAUCAGUCUUGCUAGUAGAAACCUUUUUUUUUUUUUAUUUAAAACGCUCGAUUUCCACUUUUUACUAGGUUUCCCAAUGUUGGCGAUGUCUCCCAAUGACUUAAUAACGUGUAUCCACUUCACCUUUGAAAAUCUUAGAGGUCAGUGCAUCCACCGGCAUCCGGGAAUUUAUUCUUAUUUCUGCUUCUUAAACAGGCUCUGGGGAGGAGCAGUUUCGACGGAGAAGUUCAUAGCAGCAGUUAUUACGGAACUUGCAACAGUUGGUGCCGGGCGAUAGGCAGGUUGGAAGUGAUAAAUGGGGCUGGCGUAAAAAACAAAAAGCCCCGGGGAGGGCGGGGGCAGCCGUGGCCUUGGGGGACAGUGCGAAGGCGGCGCGGGGCCAGCGGGACUGACUUCCGGCUGUGGGAAGGCGCCGUCCCGGGCGGCCAGAGGCGGCGGCAGCCGCGUAGAAGGACGGCGGGAUCGCAGCCCGGCGGGCGGCGCGCGGGGCGGGUGAGCGGGCCCAGGCCGCCCCCGG
rnacentral:lncRNA from 10 species